CCCGGCCCGCAGACGCCUCCGCCCGAGCGCCCUGCCUAGGGCAGUUCAUUGGCAGCGCCCGCCCGGCGCCGCCCCCUUUGGAAGUCAAUCAGGGCAUUGUUGGUGGAGCGCGGAGCUGCACGCGAAGGGCCCGGAGCCACCGCACGGGCUGCCAAGACUCCCCCCGUCAGUCGCCACCCCAGGGCAGCCAGCUGGCAGGGGCGGCAGCUUUCACAGGCAUGAGCUGCAUUGUCCCAGAGACGGCUGUCUUAGUGGAUGGUGGAGAGUAAUGCAGUCAUUUACGUAGCUGGGUCCCACUGAAGGCUUUGAAGAUCAGAAUCAAUGUCAACCUGACGAAAUGAAAAGUGACUGCAUAGAAACAUCUUAUGCAAACCUCUGAGGAAGCCUAACAGCAUUUUGCCACAUGAAUUCAUCUUCACUGAAGCAGCAAAGACUUGUGAUCUGGCACUCAGACUUUAUCCCAGCAAUAGAGUUGCAUUGACCAGACAUCAAAAGCAACAUGUUGAAUUUGGUCAAGCAGCACAAGUUGUCAGCAUUUGGAAACUGAUUAUGUUAGCAAGUGGCUACCAGCAGAGAAAUUUACAUGCUUGCAUGUGGUUACUUCUCCUCCCCCCCUCCCCAACUGUCAUUAGCAAUGCUUUUCUCUUUAGGUUUCAGCUGUCCUUAAAACAGCCAUGACAUCUGGCCUGACAAAGACAACAAAUACAUGAUCUCAGUAGAGUAAAUGAUUUCAGGGGCAGAGGGGGAAGAAACAGUGACAGGGCAUUCCUUGGCAGGAGCAUUGGAACACUCAGUUCAGAGAGCAAGAGCUGCAGGAAUAAAAAUACCAGUAAGAACACUAGAUCUCCGAAUGCCUGAACACGCCGAGAGAGCGCCUUUACUUUUAAAGGAAAGGUAAUGUGUUGCUGUAUUGCCCUAGCCAUAUACCAUAAAUAAAAUGUGUACUAAUGAUACCCUAAUACAUUUACAUUUCCUGACAAAUUCUAAA